rnacentral:rRNA from 1 species
UACGGAGGGGGCUAGCGUUGUUCGGAAUUACUGGGCGUAAAGCGCGUGUGGGUGGAUUGGUGUGUCAGAUGUGAAAUCCCUGGGCUCAACCCAGGAACUGCACCUGAAACUACCAGUCUUGAGUGGUGGAGAGGGAAGUGGAAUUCCUGGUGUAGAGGUGAAAUUCGUAGAUAUCAGGAGGAACACCAGUGGCGAAGGCGGCUUCCUGGACACCAACUGACGCUGAGACGCGAAAGCGUGGGGAGCAAACAGG